rnacentral:sRNA from 1 species
GCUGUUGUUGGCUGACUUCCGGUGGUGCCAAAGCCGUUUCCGUGGAAUCAGGCCGGCUGGUGAGGGUACAGAAUGGAACAAAAGUGGGACUUUUAAAAUGUUGCCCUGUAAGAAGAGAAGAACUACAGUGACAGAGUCCCUACAGCAUAAAGGCAAUCAAGAGGAAAACAACGUAGACCUAGAAUCAGCCGUUAAACCAGAAUCUGACCAGGUUAAGGACUUGAGUUCGGUGUCACUAUCCUGGGAUCCAAGUCAUGGCAGAGUAGCUGGCUUCGAAGUACAACCUUUGCAGGAUGCAGGAAAUCAGCUUGGUAUGGAGGAUACAUCUCUGAGCUCUGGAAUGCUCACCCAGAACACAAAUGUACCAAUUCUAGAAGGUGUUGAUGUGGCCAUCUCUCAGGGAAUCACCCUACCUUCCUUGGAGUCUUUUCACCCCCUUAAUAUACACAUUGGUAAAGGAAAACUCCACGCUACUGGCUCAAAGAGAGGGAAAAAAAUGACACUCAGGCCUGGGCCAGUUACCCAAGAAGACAGAUGUGAUCAUCUUACCCUAAAGGAGCCUUUUUCAGGAGAGCCUAGUGAAGAAGUCAAGGAAGAAGGAGGGAAACCUCAAAUGAAUUCUGAAGGGGAAAUACCUUCACUGCCAUCAGGCAGCCAAUCUGCAAAACCAGUAAGCCAGCCCAGGAAAUCAACCCAGCCAGAUGUUUGUGCCUCUCCUCAAGAAAAGCCACUCAGGACUCUGUUUCACCAACCUGAGGAAGAGAUAGAAGAUGGUGGACUCUUCAUUCCAAUGGAAGAACAAGACAAUGAAGAAAGUGAGAAAAGGAGAAAAAAGAAAAAGGGUACCAAGAGGAAACGAGAUGGAAGGGGUCAAGAAGGGACCUUGGCAUAUGACCUGAAACUGGAUGACAUGCUUGACCGUACCUUGGAGGAUGGUGCCAAGCAGCACAAUCUAACAGCAGUCAAUGUCCGAAACAUCCUUCAUGAAGUAAUCACAAAUGAACACGUGGUAGCUAUGAUGAAAGCAGCCAUCAGUGAGACGGAAGAUAUGCCAAUGUUUGAGCCUAAAAUGACACGCUCUAAACUGAAGGAAGUAGUGGAAAAAGGAGUGGUAAUUCCAACAUGGAAUAUUUCACCAAUUAAGAAGGCCAAUGAAAUUAAGGUAAACUUGGAAGAAAUAAUUGUUAUUCUUUUCCAGAAAGACUUCAUCGGUUUUGAAACUUAAGUACUUCCUCUUUAACUUUUCUUGAUCAAUCUUUGUUUUAAUUCCAGCUUUGUUUUUUUCCAUUCUAUUACUCUUAGGUUUGUAUCUCAUGGAAUUCACUUUAACCUCUGCCUCGUGUUAUUUGCUUUAGCUGUACAUUAUGCUCUUAGGAUUUUUUUUUUCUGCCCUGCUUCUUCCCCUUAUUUUCCAAAUACGUAUGAUUUGUGUUUCCCAUUACUUCAUUUCUUUCUAAUUGUACUAAUGUAGCCUCCUCAGUUUGUGGAUAUCCACCUUGAAGAAGAUGAUUCCUCAGAUGAAGAAUACCAGCCGGAUGAUGAAGAAGAAGAUGAAACUGCUGAAGAGAGCUUAUUGGAAAGUGAUGUUGAAAGCACUGCUUCAUCUCCACGUGGGGCAAAGAAAUCCAGAUUGAGGCAGUCUUCUGAGAUGACUGAAACAGAUGAGGAGAGUGGCAUAUUAUCAGAGGCUGAGAAAGUCAGCACACCAGCCAUCAGGCACAUCAGUGCUGAGGUAGUGCCCAUGGGGCCCCCGCCCCCUCCAAAGCCGAAACAGACCAGAGAUAGUACUUUCAUGGAGAAGUUACAUGCGGUAGAUGAGGAGCUGGCUUCCAGUCCAGUCUGCAUGGAUUCUUUCCAGCCCAUGGAUGACAGUCUCAUUGCAUUUCGAACGCGUUCUAAGAUGCCCCUGAAAGAUGUUCCCCUGGGCCAAUUAGAGGCAGAGCUCCAAGCUCCAGACAUCACUCCAGAUAUGUAUGACCCCAAUACAGCAGAUGAUGAGGACUGGAAGAUGUGGCUAGGGGGACUUAUGAAUGAUGAUGUGGGGAAUGAAGAUGAAGCAGAUGAUGAUGAUGAUCCAGAAUAUAAUUUCCUGGAAGACCUCGAUGAACCAGACACAGAGGAUUUCCGGACUGACCGGGCAGUGAGAAUCACCAAAAAGGAAGUAAAUGAGCUGAUGGAAGAGCUGUUUGAAACUUUCCAAGAUGAGAUGGGAUUCUCCAACAUGGAAGAUGAUGGCCCAGAAGAGGAGGAGCGUGUAGCUGAGCCUCGUCCUAACUUUAACACCCCUCAAGCUCUACGGUUUGAGGAACCACUGGCCAACCUGUUAAAUGAACAACAUCGGACAGUGAAGGAGCUAUUUGAACAGCUGAAGAUGAAGAAAUCUUCAGCCAAACAGCUGCAGGAAGUAGAGAAGGUUAAACCCCAGAGUGAGAAAGUUCAUCAGACUCUGAUUCUGGACCCAGCACAGAGGAAGAGACUCCAGCAGCAGAUGCAGCAGCACGUUCAGCUCUUGACCCAAAUCCACCUUCUUGCCACCUGCAACCCCAAUCUCAAUCCGGAGGCCACUACCACCAGGAUAUUUCUUAAAGAGCUGGGAACCUUUGCUCAAAGCUCCAUCGCCCUUCACCAUCAGUACAACCCCAAGUUUCAGACCCUGUUCCAACCCUGUAACUUGAUGGGAGCUAUGCAGCUGAUUGAAGACUUCAGCACACAUGUCAGCAUUGACUGCAGCCCUCAUAAAACUGUCAAGAAGACUGCGAAUGAAUUUCCCUGUUUGCCAAAGCAAGUGGCUUGGAUUCUGGCCACAAGCAAGGUUUUCAUGUAUCCAGAGUUACUUCCAGUGUGUUCCCUGAAGGCAAAGAAUCCCCAGGAUAAGAUCGUCUUCACCAAGGCUGAGGACAAUUUGUUAGCUUUAGGACUGAAGCAUUUUGAAGGAACUGAGUUUCCUAAUCCUCUAAUCAGCAAGUACCUUCUAACCUGCAAAACUGCGCACCAACUGACAGUGAGAAUCAAGAACCUCAACAUGAACAGAGCUCCUGACAACAUCAUUAAAUUUUAUAAGAAGACCAAACAGCUGCCAGUCCUAGUAAAAUGCUGUGAAGAGAUCCAGCCACAUCAGUGGAAGCCACCUAUAGAGAGAGAAGAACACCGGCUCCCAUUCUGGUUAAAGGCCAGUCUGCCAUCCAUCCAGGAAGAACUGCGGCACAUGGCUGAUGGUGCUAGAGAGGUAGGAAAUGUGACUGGAACCACUGAGAUCAACUCAGAUCGAAGCCUAGAAAAAGACAAUUUGGAGUUGGGGAGUGAAACUCGGUACCCGCUGCUAUUGCCUAAGGGUGUAGUCCUGAAACUGAAGCCAGUUGCCACCCGUUUCCCCAGGAAGGCUUGGAGACAGAAGCGUUCAUCAGUCCUGAAGCCCCUCCUUAUCCAACCCAGCCCCUCUCUCCAGCCCAGCUUCAACCCUGGGAAAACACCAGCCCGAUCAACUCAUUCAGAAGCCCCUCCGAGCAAAAUGAUGCUCCGGAUUCCUCACCCAAUACAGCCAGCCACUGUUUUACAGACAGUUCCAGGUGUCCCUCCACUGGGGGUCAGUGGAGGUGAGAGUUUUGAGUCUCCUGCAGCACUGCCUGCUAUGCCCCCUGAGGCCAGGACAAGCUUCCCUCUGUCUGAGUCCCAGACUUUGCUCUCUUCUGCCCCUGUGCCCAAGGUAAUGCUGCCCUCCCUUGCCCCUUCUAAGUUUCGAAAGCCAUAUGUGAGACGCAGACCCUCAAAGAGAAGAGGAGUCAAGGCCUCUCCCUGUAUGAAACCUGCCCCUGUUAUCCACCACCCUGCAUCUGUUAUCUUCACUGUUCCUGCUACCACUGUGAAGAUUGUGAGCCUUGGCGGUGGCUGUAACAUGAUCCAGCCUGUCAAUGCAGCUGUGGCCCAGAGUCCCCAGACUAUUCCCAUCACCACCCUCUUGGUUAACCCUACUUCCUUCCCCUGUCCAUUGAACCAGUCCCUUGUGGCCUCCUCUGUCUCACCCUUAAUUGUUUCUGGCAAUUCUGUGAAUCUUCCUAUACCAUCCACCCCUGAAGAUAAGGCCCACGUGAAUGUGGACAUUGCUUGUGCUGUGGCUGAUGGGGAAAAUGCCUUUCAGGGCCUAGAACCCAAAUUAGAGCCCCAGGAACUAUCUCCUCUCUCUGCUACUGUUUUCCCGAAAGUGGAACAUAGCCCAGGGCCUCCACUAGCAGAUGCAGAGUGCCAAGAAGGAUUGUCAGAGAAUAGUGCCUGUCGCUGGACCGUUGUGAAAACAGAGGAGGGAAGGCAAGCUCUGGAGCCGCUCCCUCAGGGCAUCCAGGAGUCUCUAAACAACCCUACCCCUGGGGAUUUAGAGGAAAUUGUCAAGAUGGAACCUGAAGAAGCUAGAGAGGAAAUCAGUGGAUCCCCUGAGCGAGAUAUUUGUGAUGACAUCAAAGUGGAACAUGCUGUGGAAUUGGACACUGGUGCCCCAAGCGAGGAGUUGAGCAGUGCUGGAGAAGUAACAAAACAGACAGUCUUACAGAAGGAAGAGGAGAGGAGUCAGCCAACUAAAACCCCUUCAUCUUCUCAAGAGCCCCCUGAUGAAGGAACCUCAGGGACAGAUGUGAACAAAGGAUCAUCAAAGAAUGCUUUGUCCUCAAUGGAUCCUGAAGUGAGGCUUAGUAGCCCCCCAGGGAAGCCAGAAGAUUCAUCCAGUGUUGAUGGUCAGUCAGUGGGGACUCCAGUUGGGCCAGAAACUGGAGGAGAGAAGAAUGGGCCAGAAGAAGAGGAAGAAGAGGACUUUGAUGACCUCACCCAAGAUGAGGAAGAUGAAAUGUCAUCAGCUUCUGAGGAAUCUGUGCUUUCUGUCCCAGAACUCCAGGUGAGAGCUGGAGAAUAUUCUCAAGUAUUUCGUGGACUCAGUAAUAUGUUUCACAUAUUGAUAUGCCACCUGCUUGCUUGCUGCACUAUGGAUAGUCCUAAAAUCAUUUGUAUUUGAUUUGUGAAUGCAUUAUGGGACAUGAUUGUGGUGUUGAGGUGAAAUGAGAUGGAAAGGAUGAAAUUUUACUUAUUAUAUUAAACUCGUUUACACAUUAAA